GGGGAUGACAGGUUUCGACGGGGCAUACCGGACUGAGGAUGGCAAGCCGAGGGGCUUCACCUCGUAAAUCCAGAGCGCAUAAACACAACUGCCAACGCAGGAAAGUUCAACUUCGUCCCCCGCCAUGCCGCACGGCCCAUGGCUUAUGCCUACGCCUAAACGGUAGGGGAACGAAGGGACACCUGAUCACCUGCGGGUGAUCACGGCCCUCCAGGGUGCCCCGCUGGCCCUGGAAGCGGCCGCCACACACAGCGUGGUGCAGCAGCGUUGAUGUCGCGAAGCGCUGCCCAAGACCCAGCGACUGGCCUGGCAAGGGGACGCGGUCAGCAGCGGCCCGCCAGGCGAGAUAAGAAGAGCUGACUAAGCUUGUAGAUAUCCUCCGUCGGAUGUUCCGGACCCGGGUUCGAUUCCCGGCAUCUCCACCA
rnacentral:tmRNA from 1 species